CGGCAGGCCUAACACAUGCAAGUCGAGGGGUAGAGGGUGCUUGCACCCUUGAGACCGGCGCACGGGUGCGUAACGCGUAUGCAACCUACCUAUUGCAGGGGAAUAGCCCAGGGAAACUUGGAUUAAUGCCCCAUAGUCCAUAUUGAGAGCAUUUGAGAUAUGGUAAAGAUUUAUCGGCAAUAGAUGGGCAUGCGUCCCAUUAGCUAGUUGGUAUGGUAACGGCAUACCAAGGCUACGAUGGGUAGGGGCCCUGAGAGGGGGAUCCCCCACACUGGUACUGAGACACGGACCAGACUCCUACGGGAGGCAGCAGUGAGGAAUAUUGGACAAUGGGCGGGAGCCUGAUCCAGCCAUGCCGCGUGCAGGAAGACUGCCCUAUGGGUUGUAAACUGCUUUUUUACGGGAAGAAACACCCCCACGUGUGGGGGCUUGACGGUACCGUACGAAUAAGGACCGGCUAACUCCGUGCCAGCAGCCGCGGUAAUACGGAGGGUCCGAGCGUUAUCCGGAAUCAUUGGGUUUAAAGGGUCCGUAGGCGGGCGUCUAAGUCAGUGGUGAAUCUCGCGGCUCAACCGUGAAAUUGCCAUUGAUACUGGUCGCCUUGAAUUAGUGUGAAGUGGCUAGAAUAUGUAGUGUAGCGGUGAAAUGCUUAGAUAUUACAUAGAAUACCGAUUGCGAAGGCAGGUCACUAACACUAUAUUGACGCUGAUGGACGAAAGCGUGGGGAGCGAACAGGAUUAGAUACCCUGGUAGUCCACGCCGUAAACGAUGGAUACUAGCUGUCCGGCCUGCAUUGGUAGGCUGGGUGGCCAAGCGAAAGUGAUAAGUAUCCCACCUGGGGAGUACGUUCGCAAGAAUGAAACUCAAAGGAAUUGACGGGGGCCCGCACAAGCGGUGGAGCAUGUGGUUUAAUUCGAUGAUACGCGAGGAACCUUACCAGGGCUUAAAUGUAGUCUGACAGGAGUGGAAACACUCUUUUCUUCGGACAGACUGCAAGGUGCUGCAUGGUUGUCGUCAGCUCGUGCCGUGAGGUGUCAGGUUAAGUCCUAUAACGAGCGCAACCCCUGUCGUUAGUUGCCAGCAUGUAAAGAUGGGAACUCUAACGAGACUGCCGGUGCAAACCGUGAGGAAGGUGGGGAUGACGUCAAAUCAUCACGGCCCUUACGUCCUGGGCCACACACGUGCUACAAUGGCAGGUACAAUGGGCAGCCACGCCGCAAGGCGGAGCGAAUCCACAAAACCUGUCUCAGUUCGGAUCGGGGUCUGCAACUCGACCCCGUGAAGCUGGAAUCGCUAGUAAUCGGAUAUCAGCCAUGAUCCGGUGAAUACGUUCCCGG
rnacentral:rRNA from 1 species